UGAACGCUAGCGACAGGCUUAACACAUGCAAGUCGAGGGGCAGCACAGGUAGCAAUACCGGGUGGCGACCGGCGCACGGGUGAGUAACGCGUAUGCAACUUACCUAUCAGAGGGGGAUAACCCGGCGAAAGUCGGACUAAUACCGCAUGAAGCAGGGGCCCCGCAUGGGGAUAUUUGCUAAAGAUUCAUCGCUGAUAGAUAGGCAUGCGUUCCAUUAGGCAGUUGGCGGGGUAACGGCCCACCAAACCGACGAUGGAUAGGGGUUCUGAGAGGAAGGUCCCCCACAUUGGUACUGAGACACGGACCAAACUCCUACGGGAGGCAGCAGUGAGGAAUAUUGGUCAAUGGCCGAGAGGCUGAACCAGCCAAGUCGCGUGAGGGAUGAAGGUUCUAUGGAUCGUAAACCUCUUUUAUAAGGGAAUAAAGUGCGGGACGUGUCCCGUUUUGUACGUACCUUAUGAAUAAGGAUCGGCUAACUCCGUGCCAGCAGCCGCGGUAAUACGGAGGAUCCGAGCGUUAUCCGGAUUUAUUGGGUUUAAAGGGUGCGUAGGCGGCCUUUUAAGUCAGCGGUGAAAGUCUGUGGCUCAACCAUAGAAUUGCCGUUGAAACUGGGGGGCUUGAGUAUGUUUGAGGCAGGCGGAAUGCGUGGUGUAGCGGUGAAAUGCAUAGAUAUCACGCAGAACCCCGAUUGCGAAGGCAGCCUGCCAAGCCAUUACUGACGCUGAUGCACGAAAGCGUGGGGAUCAAACAGGAUUAGAUACCCUGGUAGUCCACGCAGUAAACGAUGAUCACUAGCUGUUUGCGAUACACUGUAAGCGGCACAGCGAAAGCGUUAAGUGAUCCACCUGGGGAGUACGCCGGCAACGGUGAAACUCAAAGGAAUUGACGGGGGCCCGCACAAGCGGAGGAACAUGUGGUUUAAUUCGAUGAUACGCGAGGAACCUUACCCGGGUUUGAACGCAUUCGGACCGAGGUGGAAACACCUUUUCUAGCAAUAGCCGUUUGCGAGGUGCUGCAUGGUUGUCGUCAGCUCGUGCCGUGAGGUGUCGGCUUAAGUGCCAUAACGAGCGCAACCCUUGCCACUAGUUACUAACAGGUAAAGCUGAGGACUCUGGUGGGACUGCCAGCGUAAGCUGCGAGGAAGGCGGGGAUGACGUCAAAUCAGCACGGCCCUUACAUCCGGGGCGACACACGUGUUACAAUGGCGUGGACAAAGGGAAGCCACCUGGCGACAGGGAGCGAAUCCCCAAACCACGUCUCAGUUCGGAUCGGAGUCUGCAACCCGACUCCGUGAAGCUGGAUUCGCUAGUAAUCGCGCAUCAGCCAUGGCGCGGUGAAUACGUUCCCGGGCCUUGUACACACCGCCCGUCAAGCCAUGGGAGCCGGGGGUACCUGAAGUCCGUAACCGCGAGGAUCGGCCUAGGGUAAAACUGGUGACUGGGGCUAA
rnacentral:rRNA from 1 species